UGGUUCUGGCAUCGAUGAAGAACGCAGCGAAAUGCGAUAAGUAAUGUGAAUUGCAGAAUUCAGUGAAUCAUCGAAUCUUUGAACGCACAUUGCGCCCCUUGGUAUUCCGGGGGGCAUGCCUGUUCGAGCGUCAUUAUACCCCUCAAGCCUGGCUUGAUGUUGGGGCAUACCGUCCGCGGUAGCCCUUAAAACCAGUGGCGGUGCCGCCUGGCCCUAAGCGUAGUAAUUAUCCUCGCUACAGGGUCCUGCGGGUACCUGCCAUCAACACCCAACUUUCUAAGGUUGACCUCGGAUCAGGUAGGGAUACCCGCUGA
rnacentral:misc_RNA from 1 species